ACUUGUUUGACUGCGUUCAAAAAGAUAACAAGUGUGUGCUUUUGUACGAGCGUGCAUGAUUCGUCUAUGCUUGUAAAAUCGAAGCAUGGUCUUUCUUGUAAGCCUCUUCGGUAUUUUCACGAUUCUGGCAUAAUCCUUUUGUGAACAGCGAACCUGUGAAAGGCAUUAAGAAUAAAGAAAGCAGUAAGAACGAGACUGUCGCAAAUCUCUUUCGUCCAUGAGUUCCCGUUCUUUUCCUGACAAUAAAGUAUAGUUAUCCCGUUUUCAAGUGUUGAAAUAAACAAGGGAUUUUACUUACACUAUACCAUAUACUAUCAUUAUGAAUGAAAAACAAGGUCUCUAUAAGGUAAUUCCCCGAUCUGUUGCGGAGAUGCGCAGUACCAGGAGCAGACAACUGUUAUUUUUUGAUAACAGAUCUGCUGAACAGAUUUGAAGUGGUAUCGUAACCAAAACAAUUAUUCAAGUUUCCAUUCCGUUUAUUUGUAAGAAAACUAAACUAAAACUAAACAUAGAAAUGGAAUCGAACAAGAAAGCGCUCAUUGUGGUGGAAGAUGGUGCGAUCUAUAAAGUAACUUGCGAAAGUUACGAGGAAAAGAGACAAUUAUAUAUAGGUGAGUGCUUUCUCAAUCAUCCUUAUUCCUGUGGAUUGUUUGUUUCUCGGCUUGCUUAUAAUCUUCAAGAUCUUUUAUUUUCUCUUUUAGACAAGACUUACUGUGAUAUAGUUUUUUUAACUUGACAGGCAGGAGUAAAACCUAUAAAUUUCAUCAAUGAGAAUAUGCAAGUUCAGGUUUGUCAUGUUUUUAUUUGAAUUAAAUGUUUUGAGGUAGAGUGUGGGUGGCCUAACAAUGCGAUGGUCAUUAAUUUCCAUGCUUAAUGUUUUGCAAGUAAUUAAACAGAAGAGCAUUGACGCGAAAGAGAACCUCGAUUUCAAAAAGAGAAGAAUAGAAUAUGCAGAGGCAGGUGAACAAG